GAUGAACGCUGGCGGCGUGCUUAACACAUGCAAGUCGAACGGAAAGGCCCAAGCUUGCUUGGGUACUCGAGUGGCGAACGGGUGAGUAACACGUGGGUGAUCUGCCCUGCACUUCGGGAUAAGCCUGGGAAACUGGGUCUAAUACCGGAUAGGACCACAUUUUGGAUGGUGUGGUGGAAAGUUUUUCGGUGUGGGAUGAGCUCGCGGCCUAUCAGCUUGUUGGUGGGGUAAUGGCCUACCAAGGCGUCGACGGGUAGCCGGCCUGAGAGGGUGUACGGCCACAUUGGGACUGAGAUACGCCCCAGACUCCUACGGGAGGCAGCAGUGGGGAAUAUUGCACAAUGGUCGCAAGCCUGAUGCAGCGACGCCGCGUGGGGGAUGACGGCCUUCGGGUUGUAAACUCCUUUCGCUAGGGACGAAGCGCAAGUGACGGUACCUGGAGAAGAAGCACCGGCUAACUACGUG
rnacentral:rRNA from 1 species